rnacentral:tRNA from 1 species
ACGGCUUUGGUGAAAAGCGGUAGACACGUCAGACUUAAAAUCUGUUUCUUAGCCUAGAGUAUCGGUUCAAGUCCGAUAAGCCGUA